rnacentral:rRNA from 1 species
UACAGGGGGUGCAACCGUUGUCCGGAAUUAUUGGGCGUAAAGCGCGCGCAGGUGGUUUCUUAAGUCUGAUGUGAAAGCCCACGGCUCAACCGUGGAGGGUCAUUGGAAACUGGGGAACUUGAGUGCAGGAGAGAAGAGUGGAAUUCCACGUGUAGCGGUGAAAUGCGUAGAGAUGUGGAGGAACACCAGUGGCGAAGGCGACUCUUUGGCCUGUAACUGACGCUGAGGUGCGAAAGCGUGGGGAGCAAACAGG